UGGCUCAGUGGUUAAGAGCACUGGUUGCUCUUCCAGAGGACCUGGGCUCAAUUCCCAG
rnacentral:tRNA from 1 species